rnacentral:rRNA from 1 species
GACGAACGCUGGCGGCGUGCCUAAUACAUGCAAGUCGAACGCAGUGGGGACGGGUGAGUAACACGUGGGUAACCUCCCAUCAGAGGGGAUAACACUUGGAAACAGGUGCUAAACCGAUACUGAUGGAUGAACCCGCGGUGCCUUAGCUAGUUGGUGAGGUAACGGCUCACCAAGGCCACGAUGCAUAGCCGACCUGGGCGGGUGAUCGGCCACACUGGGACGGAGACACGGCCCGUACUCUUACGGGAGGCAGCCGUAUGGAAUCUUCGGCAAUUGACGGAAGUCUGACCGAGCAACGCCGCGUGAGUGAAGAAGGUUUUCGGAUCGGAAAUCUCUGUUGUUGUAGAUGCGGUAUCUAACCAGAAAGCCACGGCUAACUACGUGCCAGCAGCCGCGGUAAUAC